UGAUAGCCGUGGUAAUCGACGAUGGGAAAGAAGCAGGGGUGGCGGGAUCAUCACCGGUGGGGUCGUCGGGGAGAAAGUGGAGGCAGAUAAGAAAGGAACGGGCUCGACCGGGUGUGAAAAGGAGAACGAGAGAGAUAGCGAUGAUGUGGUGCUGCACCACUGCUCUCCUACUGCUAGCCGAAUUUUGAUAUUGUUGCUGCUAUCUAAAUUUCGCAAACACACGGCGAGGUGUUUGAUGUUGGCCGACGUCGCGCCUGUUGCGAGGGGGAUUUCAUCGUUUGGGAAUCUCCUGGGAGAGGUGCUGCCCUGCGAGGUAAGAGGCAUCCAUCUCCAUGUGCUCGGCGGUCUGUGUCUGGAAAGAAUUUCAUUAUGCAAAUAAUAAUUAUUUUUCUCCAAGAAAGUUACAACAAUCUUUGUCUAGAAAGAAUUUCAUUCUGCAAAUAAUUCACACACAAUAGCAUAUACAUCAUUAAAGAAUUAUCUUCCAUAUAAACCAACACUACCUGUUUCAUGUCACUUCACAAGUGAGUAAACUAGAUCUUGGGACUGCAGUAACACCAUAUAUCUGAGUGUGUAUCCUAAAUGCUGUCUAGGCCAUAUGAUAGAAAGACAAUAGUUGCAUGAUGCAAGGAUUAAAAGCCUAGAAAACUUUCAUUCUGCCUAGCUAACUUUUUAGCACUUAUGUGGAAUACCGAAAUGUAGCAUUAUUUUCUUGCAGUGUAACCAACGUCUAUGGACCCGUCAAAG
rnacentral:lncRNA from 1 species